rnacentral:tRNA from 1 species
GCGCGAUUAGCUCAGGGGGAGAGCACUACCUUGACACGGUAGGGGUCACAAGUUCAAAUCUUGUAUCGCGCA